AUGGGACGCACCGCCUUGGUCAAGUCGGUGCUUGCCUCCCAAGCCAUAUACUUCAUCACUACGCUCGUCGUCCCCACAAGCACCCUCAAAAAUCUCAACAAGCUUGAGCGAGCGUUCCUUUGGGAGGGAACAGACAAGACCACCGGGGCCAAAUGCAAGGUUAAUUGGGACACCGUUUGCCGCCCAAUUGCCAAUGGGGGUCUUGGAGUGCUAAACACGGAGAAAUUCGCUAGGGCACUGAGGAUUCGUUGGAUUUGGUUUGAGUGGAAGGAGCCAACUAAGAUGUGGGUUGGCAUGGGCAAUCCGUGCGAUGACGCAGACUACAACUUCUUCUAUGCCUCCUCAACUAUUAUCGUGGGAAAUGGCGCGCGCGCCCCCUUUUGGGACUCUCUGUGG
rnacentral:rRNA from 1 species